UAAAGACAAGGAAAAAAAGGCCCACCGACAGAUUGGGACAUUUAAGCAGACAUGACUAUUACAUACAAUGUUGAAUUCUGAAUUGUAUCCGGAACCUGAAAAGUUGAAAGGUGAAAUCAGAACCAGGCCUAUAGUUUUAACAGUAUCACACCAAUGUUAAUAUCUUGGUUUUGAUAAUUGUAUUAUGGUUAUAUAAAAUGUUAACAUUGUUGGAAACUGUGUGAAAUAUGUAAGAACUAUUAUUUUUGCAUUUUUCUUCUGGUAGUUAGAAUCAAAUCCAGGGCCUUGCACUGUUGUGGAUACAAAUCAAGUCAAGAUGGUGCCUGGUAGUUUGCCAGGAGGAGUGGUUUGUGAAGUAAUGUGAGGGAGCCAUUAAGAUGAUGAGGAUUCCUUAAUGACUGACUGCUGUAUCUAGAUGAUGUUAAGCUGUGUGUAAUUAGUUGGGUAUAUGUACCUCUGCUGUCCCACAGGGAAGCGGCUCCUGCUACCUUGGGUGCC
rnacentral:lncRNA from 1 species